AGAGUUUGAUCAUGGCUCAGGACGAACGCUGGCGGCGUGCUUAACACAUGCAAGUCGUACGAUGACCCGGCUCUUCGGAGCUGGUGAUUAGUGGCGAACGGGUGAGUAACACGUGGGUGACCUGCCCUGCACUCUGGGAUAAGCCCGGGAAACUGGGUCUAAUACUGGAUACGACCAGUGGCCGCAUGGUCUGCUGGUGGAAAGCCCUUCGGGGUGGUGUGGGAUGGGCCCGCGGCCUAUCAGCUUGUUGGUGGGGUGAUGGCCUACCAAGGCGACGACGGGUAGCCGGCCUGAGAGGGUGUCCGGCCACACUGGGACUGAGACACGGCCCAGACUCCUACGGGAGGCAGCAGUGGGGAAUCUUGCACAAUGGGCGGAAGCCUGACGCAGCGACGCCGCGUGGGGGAUGACGGCCUUCGGGUUGUAAACCUCUUUCAGCAGGGACGAAGUUGACGUGUACCUGCAGAAGAAGCGCCGGCUAACUACGUGCCAGCAGCCGCGGUAAUGCGUAGGGCGCAAGCGUUGUCCGGAAUUAUUGGGCGUAAAGAGCUCGUAGGCGGCGUGUCGCGUCGAUUGUGAAAGCCCGGGGCUUAACUCCGGGUCUGCAGUCGAUACGGGCAUGCUCGAGUUCGGCAGGGGAGACUGGAAUUCCUGGUGUAGCGGUGAAAUGCGCAGAUAUCAGGAGGAACACCGGUGGCGAAGGCGGGUCUCUGGGCCGAUACUGACGCUG
rnacentral:rRNA from 1 species